AGAGCAAGGAGGAUCCAGCCUGAAUAUAGACGGAGGCCCUAGGCUAAAUGGAAAGGAGAAAGCAGGAAGUGCUGCCGUCCUGCUGAAGUUGCUCAGGAACACAGAGUCUUCAGAGACUCAGGACUGAUGAGUAAGGACAGAAUAAUACUAGCCCGGCAAGAAGACCCCAGACUACCCUAGAACAGAGAUGGCAGCCCUUCUCCUGAUCGUUCCUGGCUGUCCCCAGGAGCUUGAUGAGCACGGCAAAGGCUGAGGCUACCGUCAGGAAUGCAGAGCCUCAAGUGGACAACCUCAGUACAAGACGUAGGAGCCACACGGGCUUGCUCAGCAAGGAAUGCCAUCCGAAACAGAGCCAAGUCCUUCCAGCAAUGCCCCAUC
ensembl:antisense Gm15401 predicted gene 15401